GCCCGCAAACAGAACCUCCUCGCCCGUUUCCAUUCUCCCGUCACAAAUCUUCUCGCGAGGUGGCCUGACGGAUGUCGCCGCCAUGAGCUGCCCCCCUCGCUUUCCCACCGCGCGCUCCUCUAUACUUCUGGUUUCCGCGCCAUCGACGCACGCGAGGAAGGAGCGCCGACCGCACCGAGCUCUCAUCCCUCCUAGUCCUAGCUACGCCCCGCCUCCUCGCAGAUCCGCCUCCUCCACAGGUUCUUCGGCAAACACUGUCGCGCAUGUUACAAAGGUGAUGGCCACUGUGCCCCGUGAUCUAGAAAAGACGCUGGAUGGAGCUAAUGGCCAUGCUGGAUGCGAAGUGUCGAGAAGUGCCCAGAAUUUGAUGACGAGGAAGUGAGGGCAAAUGCUGUUUGGAGCUUGGUUGUCAACAUGGAUGAAGUUGUACCUGGAGAGACCUUUUAUGUUCUGAAGAGCUGCUUUUGCUGGGAGAUGUAAUAGUUAGAUUACAGAAUCUUUGUCCUUAGGAAAGUAUUUGAAUGAGAAGUGUUAAGUUUGUAGGUCGUGUCGGAAGAAGGAAGGGAUUUUUUUGAAUUCCUGUACUGUAAUAAUGAUGUUGUAAAGUCUGAUGUUUCAUGUCAAAUGGAAUGGAACGGUGGUGAAACCGCCAUCUAGCUCUAAGAAAAAUACUACUUAUGUGUCAUGGAAAACUAUGUACACCCUCUGAUGCAUAAUAAGUGUCAUGGAUAGGAGGGAGUAGUAUAUGUGCAUUUUCUUGUUGUCCCAACUUAUUGCAGCAUUUUGAACCUGGAAGUUGUGAAGAAGGAACCAUUGGCAUGCUCUAUUUAUAAUGUACCAAGACCCAAAAAAAAUUACUGUCUAUAUAUCUGUUAACUAAUUUUGAGGCAAGUAUUUUCA